UAGGGAAUAUUGGACAAUGGGGGCAACCCUGAUCCAGCCAUGCCGCGUGAGUGAAGAAGGCCCUCGGGUUGUAAAGCUCUUUUGUCCGGAAAGAAAAGCAUUCGGUGAAUACCCGGUUGUUCUGACGGUACCGGAAGAAUAAGCACCGGCUAACUUCGUGCCAGCAGCCGCGGUAAUACGAAGGGUGCAAGCGUUACUCGGAAUUACUGGGCGUAAAGCGUGCGUAGGUGGUUGUUUAAGUCUGAUGUGAAAGCCCUGGGCUCAACCUGGGAAUGGCAUUGGNAACUGGGCAGCUAGAGUGCGGUAGAGGGUAGUGGAAUUCCCGGUGUAGCAGUGAAAUGCGUAGAGAUCGGGAGGAACAUCUGUGGCGAAGGCGACUGCCUGGACCAGCACUGACACUGAGGCACGAAAGCGUGGGGAGCAAACA
rnacentral:rRNA from 1 species